rnacentral:rRNA from 1 species
CUGACUCAUGGACAUAGGUAAAUAAAAUUCUAUACAAAACAUUGAUGAAUCAAAUCUGGCAAUAUAUACAAGAAUUACUACAACAAAUUAGAAAUUACUACAAACAAGAAAUAAGAGAAAACAGCAAUAUAUAAAAAUGAAUUGGGAAACCACCAUUGAAACAGAUGAAACUGAAACAAAUGUUAGACUGUUGAGAAUGUCUAUGAUAUAUUAACAUAAAAUAUAUUUGAAAACCCAGAAAAGAUAGAUAAAAUUGAAAAGAAAAUGUAAUUUGUAAAAAAUGACACUAGUACAGAUACAAGAGCUUAAAUAAACCAAUUUUCAUAGAAGAA